CGGCCCUCACAGGGCGCCAUGUCCCAGCAUGCCAUGCGGGCCAGCAGUGACACUCCCCUCCCAGCAUGCCGUGCGGCCCUGCAGUGACAUCCCGUCCCAGCAUGCCGUGCGGCCCUCACAGGGAGCCAUGUCCCAGAAUGCCCUGAGGCCCAGCAGAGAGGAUUUCCAUAAGGCAGGAAUCCUUUGUUUGAUUCCCCCACCUCCCAGUGGAAAAGUUCAGCAGCCCAGCCUCUGCCUGGGAGCAACCGAGACAAGUCACCGCUUGCAGGGAGCCACCUGAGGGUUCGGUUUGAGUGUUGAGGUCGAUGGAGGCCACUUUGCCGGCAGUGGCAGAGGAGCUUUUGAAAGAGAUAAAAAAGGCUUUCCAGGAGACCUCGCAUGUUUCUGAUGAUCUCCUGCUGGCGCUGAAAUUUGUAUUUGGCUCAUCUGCUGUGGCGGCCUUGGAUUUGGUUGAUCAACACUCAGUCACGCGAAUCGUGUCUCCUAGUGGAAGGGCCGUGUACCAGGUCCUCGGGAGUUCAGGCAAACUGUACACCUGCUACGCCUCCUGCCACUUCUGCACGUGCCCUGCAUUUGCUUUCUCCGUGCUGCGGAAGAACGACAGCCUGGUGUGUAAGCACAUCCUUGCCAUGUACCUCAGCCAGGCCACAGGCGCAUGCCAAGAGCUCUCUGUCUCUGACCAGCAGCUGGCAAGCAUCUUACUGGCAGAGGAAGAGGAGGAAGGACCUGGGACCGUGUGCUAACACCUUCUCUCCUGCAACGCCUCCCUGGCUCCUCUGAGGCCCUGAGUGACGCAUCCCAGAGCCCAACUCCACAUUGAGUGUUGUGUCUGUUGCCCCCCGCACUCCGGCCACCUGGCUCUGUCUCAUUUGCAAACGCAGCCUGUUCUCAUCUAACAUCGCUACCGGAAGGGCAUGCCCAAAGAAACGACACGGCGCAAGGUCUGCACCACAUCACCACAACGGAAGGCCUUCCCCGGGAAUCCUCCUGCUGCCGAUUGAGAAUCAACGCAAAGCAUGAUCAAGAGCAGAACUAGCAGGACUUACUUUAUCCUGGCCAUUGAGCUCCUGGUAUGGAAUGUGUGCAGGCAGGUAGGUGUGGAGGAGAGCGCAGAAGGCCAGCCCAUCGCUCCAGCUGCUGCUGAAGUUGGUAAUGUCUAUGUUCUGUGGGAGGAAACAACAAAACCAUUACUGAGUGCUGCUGACGUCAGGCAAUGGCCCGAGUGAACAGCCCUUGUAGCCAGUGAAGCAGGGCAGAGCCAGCAUCAACAUAGAUACAGAAGAACAUGAGGGAUAACAGGUGGCUAGAAAGACUUUCUCUGAGCUCUGAAGGUACUAAAUUCUGUCCAGCUGAGUGCUACAUGGAGCUCCAGGUAAGUGGCUAAGGCCUUCUUGUAGCCAUACUUAUGCGCAGCUGGGGGAGACUACAGGCUUCCUGGGUCAAGAUGGAGCGCUGAUGUUGAAGCCCUAAAAUGAAACAGAAGGCUACUACGGGCUGCGGUGCGGAAUUCUCUGGGCUGCAUCUGGCCUGCAGGCUGCACCUUGCCUAAACUUCUUGAACUGUCCCUUCGUGGGGCACUGCCAGUCUCCGGUCACUACAGAAACAUUGCGUUACUUUUUCAUUUUUUUGCUCUGUUCUAUAUCAGCACUGGGCAGAUGAGGAAUCCAGGUGGCUGGUUUCAAACACCUGGGCAGAGCUUUGUUAAGAGUUAAGCUGGUCCCAAAUCUGACCCCAAACAAGGGAAGUAUCUGCCGCUUUCCAGAAAGUGAGAAAUGCCUUGUGCAGCAUGAACCUUGGCUGGGGUUUUGAUCCCUGCCCUGUCAGGAGGAAGGAACUGUUUCAGGCGUGUCUGUAUAAUGGGCUGGCUCGGCUGCAUCCCGUGCACCCCCUCAUGGCCUAGGACCAUGCUACAGACAGCCUGUCUCAGUUUCCCCUCUUGGACUGUUCAAAGAAACCUCACUUCAGGCUUUU